GCAAGUCGAGGGGUAACAUGAGAGCUUGCUCUUGAUGACGACCGGCGCACGGGUGAGUAACGCGUACACAACCUACCUUUAAGUGGGGGAUAGCCUCGGGAAACUGAGAUUAAUACCCCAUGUGAUUGUUUUUAUUAUUUAUGAACAAUUAAAGUUCCGACGCUUAAAGAUGGGUGUGCGUAUGAUUAGAUAGUUGGUGAGGUAACGGCUCACCAAGUCUACGAUCAUUAGGGGGCGUGAGAGCGUGGCC
rnacentral:rRNA from 1 species